CAAAGAGUAGUUUAAGUAAAAUGCUGGCUUUGGGGGCUAGUGAUGGAUAGUCCUUCUUUGA
rnacentral:tRNA from 2 species